rnacentral:tRNA from 1 species
GAGGCUUAGCUCAGCUGGUUAGAGUGCUUGCUUGACAUGCAAGAGGUCGCUGGUUCAAUUCCAGUAGUCUCC